GGGGUUGUGGCUCAGCGGUAGAGUGCACCCCUGGCACAUGUAAGGUUGUGGAUUCGACCCUCAACACCA
rnacentral:tRNA from 1 species